GACGAACCGUGCGAACGUUAUUCGGAAUCACUGGGCUUAAAGCGCGUGUAGGCGGGCCGCCGCGGCGGCUGCUGAAAUCCCCCGGCUCAACCGGGGAACGGGCACCGAUACGGGCGGCCUCGAGGGGGGUAGGGGGGUCUGGAACUUCCGGUGGAGCGGUGAAAUGCGUAGAGAUCGGAAAGAACACCAACGGCGAAAGCACUCUGCUGGGCCGACACUGACACUGAGAGACGAAAGCUAGGGGAGCGAAUGGG
rnacentral:rRNA from 1 species